GACUACUCGGGUGGCAGCAGUGAGGAAUAUUGGUCAAUGGACGAGAGUCUGAACCAGCCAAGUAGCGUGAAGGAUGACUGCCCUAUGGGUUGUAAACUUCUUUUAUAUGGGAAUAAAAUGUUCCACGUGGGGGAUUUUGUAUGUACCAUAUGAAUAAGGAUCGGCUAACUCCGUGCCAGCAGCCGCGGUAAUACGGAGGAACCGAGCGUUAUCCGGAUUUAUUGGGUUUAAAGGGAGCGUAGGUGGAUUGUUAAGUCAGCUGUGAAAGUUUGCGGCUCAACCGUAAAAUUGCAGUUGAAACUGGCAGUCUUGCGUACAGUAGAGGUGGGCGGAAUUCGUGGUGUAGCGGUGAAAUGCUUCGAUCUCACGAAGAACUCCGAUUGCGAAGGCAGUUCACUGGACUGCAACUGACACUGAGGCUCGAAAGUGUGGGUAUCAAACAGGACUAGAUACCCUUGUAGUC
rnacentral:rRNA from 1 species